rnacentral:rRNA from 1 species
GGGCUACACUGCAGUCGACGGUAACAGGAAGCAGCUUGCUGCUUCGCUGACGAGUGGCGGACGGGUGAGUAAUGUCUGGGAAACUGCCUGAUGGAGGGGGAUAACUACUGGAAACGGUAGCUAAUACCGCAUAACGUCGCAAGACCAAAGAGGGGGACCUUCGGGCCUCUUGCCAUCGGAUGUGCCCAGAUGGGAUUAGCUAGUAGGUGGGGUAACGGCUCACCUAGGCGACGAUCCCUAGCUGGUCUGAGAGGAUGACCAGCCACACUGGAACUGAGACACGGUCCAGACUCCUACGGGAGGCAGCAGUGGGGAAUAUUGCACAAUGGGCGCAAGCCUGAUGCAGCCAUGCCGCGUGUAUGAAGAAGGCCUUCGGGUUGUAAAGUACUUUCCGCGGGGAGGAAUGCGAUAAGGUUAA